rnacentral:rRNA from 1 species
AGUGAACGCUGGCGGUAGGCCUAACACAUGCAAGUCGAACGGCAGCACAGUAAGAGCUUGCUCUUACGGGUGGCGAGUGGCGGACGGGUGAGGAAUACAUCGGAAUCUACUUUUUCGUGGGGGAUAACGUAGGGAAACUUACGCUAAUACCGCAUACGACCUACGGGUGAAAGCAGGGGAUCUUCGUACCUUGCGCGAUUGAAUGAGCCGAUGUCGGAUUAGCUAGUUGGCGGGGUAAAGGCCCACCAAGGCGACGAUCCGUAGCUGGUCUGAGAGGAUGAUCAGCCACACUGGAACUGAGACACGGUCCAGACUCCUACGGGAGGCAGCAGUGGGGAAUAUUGGACAAUGGGCGCAAGCAUGAUCCAGCCAUACCGCGUGGGUGAAGAAGGCCUUCGGGUUGUAAAGCCCUUUUGUUGGGAAAGAAAAGCAGCAGGUUAAUACCCCGCUGUUCUGACGGUACCCAAAGAAUAAGCACCGGCUAACUUCGUG